rnacentral:rRNA from 1 species
AACGGCCGCGGUAUUUUGACCGUGUGAAGGUAGCGUAAUCAUUUGUCUUUUAAAUGAAGACCUGUAUGAAUGGCAUAACGAGGGCUUAACUGUCUCACUUUUUUUAUCAAUGAAAUUGAUCUUCCCGUGCAGAAGCGGGAAUAAAUACAUAAGACGAAAAGACCCUGUGGAGCUUUAGACAACAAAAUAGUCCAACUUAAUAAAUAUUCCUGGCACCUAUUACGAUGUCUUCGGUUGGGGCGACCAAGGAGAAAAAUAUAACCUCCACGUGAAAUAAUAUUAAAUUUCUAGAAACAAGAGCUACAACUCAAAUUUCCAGAACCUCUGUCUAAUAUGAUCCGGCCUAUAAAGCCGAUCAACGAACCAAGUUACCCCAGGGAUAACAGCGCAAUCCCCUUUUAGAGCCCACAUCGACAAGGGGGUUUACGACCUCGAUGUUGGAUCAGGACAUCCUAAU